GGCAUGUGAAACAUAGAAGCCAGAUGCAGCUCUGAGACACAGGUUGUGGGCCCUUUUCCCCUGUGUAACCAUGCACCUCCCUAAAAUGGGCAUGCACGUGUCCUUUCCCCUCCAUGACCUAGAUGGAAGCAUCAAUGAUUGAAGAUCAGCAGCAGCAUGGAACCCUGGGCCUAUUUGGAGAUACCAAGUGAGUCCAAGGAGCUCCCAGAGGCAAGUUGAUGAUGGCCUAUUGAGGGGAUCAUGGAGGCCUGGUGAUGGUUGAAAUGGACCAAAAAUUAGGCUUCAUAGGGAUGAGUUUAUGGGGGAUUUUAUUCCUUCUCCUUGAUAUGUGCUGUGAAGGAAAGUAUUAGAAGUAAUUCUACCUUCCAUCCUCAAGGACCAGUGUGAAUUCUAAUACCAGUAAGUGUUGUCCUGAAAAUAAUCACAUUUCUCCUAGGGAAUCAUAACAUUCCAGUGACAAUAAUACUCUGGUUAUGGUAGUCAGCCAAGAGGCUAGGUCAUUGGCUAUAAUUGGUCUCCAUAAUUGAAGAGCUUUAGUCAGUGUAUCCAGAAUUAUAGAAUCCUGGAGCUCAGUGUCUACCAUAUAUCUCAGGACCAAGAUCUCU
rnacentral:lncRNA from 1 species